AAAAGAAAAUAUUUGUAUCUAAACACUAAUAAAUACAUAACUAAUAUAGAAAGAUAGCAGUGAACUCCGGAUGCAUGAAUGUCCAACUGCUAGCUUGGAAGCUCUAACAAUCGCUCGAGUUAAGCAAGUUGAGGUGCACUCAAUCUAGGACCUGCACCGAAAGGGCGGAGUAAGCAUGAGUACGGUCCACUUGUAUUCAGUAGAUAUCAUAGGUCGACUAAGCAAAGUAAUAAAUAGAGCAUACCAAAUAUACACUAAAGAUACAUCACCUGCAAUCACAAAAUGUCCCAUAACGGUACCCCACACCACUUUCACUAACAGUUCUAAUAUAUCACAUAUAUUGUCACAUCACACCAAGAUAGAACACAAGUAUGCAUUAUAUCAUAUAUAAGUAGAACAAGGGAGAACAUAUAUAUAUAAGAUCAUCAAAAACAAGUAAAUGAAGAUACAAUAAAUACCUAAAUGAUAAGUCAAUAUGGCAAUACAACACAAUAUAACACAAUAAAGUAAGUGAAAUGUAUAUGAUGAUGAUGAUGGUAAUGAUGAUGAUAAUGCACGAGGUCGUCGCACAACCUCCGAAAUCGUCGCACAAUCCCCGUAUACACCUACGGAGCUAAAGCUUCCUAGCUUAGGACUAAUGGGGGGUUCUUCAACCCAUAUACAAUCCAUAUAUCUCAUAUUUCCUUUUUGUCAUAUCCCUCGGAAAAAUUCUUAUAAGGUGUUACAAUAUUUCCUCCCCGGCACAUCCCUCGGGAAGUGUUUUUAAAAAGGUGCUGCUAGUGUUACUCAGGUGUUGCCAUGGUGGUACCAAUGUUACAUGAAUUAGUAUGAUAUAAGGAUGUAAUGCUUACAACUAAUCACAAUGAGUAUUUUCACAGCCAACCACAUGAUAUAUUUCCACAACCAACUACAAUGAUACAUUUCCACAACUAUGUGAGUCAAUAUCCACUCAUUAUUUUCGUUUUAUUCAUGAAUUUCCAAAUGUCUUAUAUACCAAUAAAGCAGGAAUAUAAUCAGAAUACACCAACAGUACCACAUUAAACAUUUUAACAAUACAAUACAGUUAUUCACAUGUAUUCAAGGCUAUCAAUACCGCAUAGGACCCCACACGGUCACACAUAUCACAUAAUAUCUCAAUUUUGACAAUUACAUCACAUAUAGACCCCUCACAGACACAACACGACCAUUUUUCAUUAUUAGUUCCCACCCUUAAUAUUCAUUUUGUAUCAUCAUUUACUACCCAGCCCAUUCUGAAAGAGUUAAGUCAUAACCGACCUUAAAAGCCGAAACCAAUCCGCUACACUUCGAACCCAUGACCUUACUUUCCAUGAACAAUUUUGAACACCUCUAAAACAUCAAAUAUGGAAUCUACGCAUCCAAACAAAACCAACAACACUCAUAUUAACUACUUUUGGUUCGGGGUCAAAACAGACCCCAAAAAUGUAUUUUCAAAAAAGAAGGGCAAAAUCGUAACUUUACUUCAAAAAUAUGUUCUCCAUAUUUUUAGAAAGCUACAGCUGAAAAUCCAAGACAAAUCAAGUAAAAAACGAGGUUCAAAUAGGAAAAAAAAAUAAAUUUUUACCAGGUAAAAUCUUUGAAAUCCGGGUUAAAUCAAGAAUUUGAUUUAUUUUGAAAGUUAAAUUGAUGAAAAACUAGUAAUUAUAAGAUAAAAACAUUAUUAAAGUGAAAAUAAGUGAAAUUGGGGUUUAAAAUUCCAAAGCUUUGUAGGGUUUUAAGAAAUUAAUCAAGAAAUUAUUAAAAAAAGGGUGAAUUCUUAUCUUAAAUCUGUAAUAGAAUCAAGAAAUAGAUGUUAAACUAGCUUCCCAAGCUCCCACAGACUUCACUUUUAAGUUCCCAAACUAUUUUAGGAUUUAACUCUCAAGAGGCAAGAUUAAAGAAUGGACAAAAUAGGCCAAAAAGGGUUUAAAAAAACUGCUAUUUAUAGUAGAAAAAUCUGCACUAUUGCAGAUUUUUCUAAGUCCAAACGAACUUCGAUGGGGUUCCCGGGAUUCAUUUGGAGUCUUAUAUAUACAAACAAACUAUGCAAUCACACUAAAUUCGAUGCUACGAACUCAAUGGUGAUAUCAAAUUUUUGAAAAAAAAUGUCGUUUUCACAAAGUUGACCUCCGAAACUCGAAAACAUAAUUUUCUAAAUCGAGGGUCGAAAUGAGAUUUAAAAGCCAAAAAAUUACAACAAAUAUGUUGACACCCUAAAAUCGACGUUUUGGAUUUUCUGGCGAAGUCAGGUUUUCUAUUCGAGGUCAUUUCAACUAAAUGUGGGUCCCACACCCAUAUUUUUAAUUUCUCAGCUUUUUGACUAAUGGAUCAAAAUGAGCUCGGGUGCAUCGAAACCCGAACCAAAGGUCUAGCUAGCCUAAAAUUAAUAUUUUAGAGUUGUUGGCGCAGUUCAUUCAGCCAUCCGUCGCAUGGCUCAAAAGAUAUCCAAAUAAGUCUAAAAUAAGGCCCUUAAAGCCAUCAAAAACCACAAUACCGCAUAAAUGGUACCAAAAUACAUUGGAAAUCAAGUCAGUCACCCCCACACCCCAGAAAUAUCAUAAUGCAACUACGGAGAGGGGUAAAAUGGUUAAAUUACAAGAAAUUGCAAAUUUCACAUAUUUCAUCAAAUUUUUCAGAUCGUUACAUCAUCCACCACUAAAAAUCAAGUUCGUACUCGAACUAAGGCAUAGAAAUACCUGAAUCAACGAAGAGCUUCUGAUAAGAACUACGCAUAUCAGACUCGACCUCUCAAGUAGCCUCAUUUAUAGGUCGAUGUCGUAACUAGACCUUAACCACAGGGAUCACUCUAAAGCGCAGCCGUAUAACAUCUCUAGCCAAUAUGGAGAUCAGCUCCUCAACAAAAGAUAACCGCUCAUCUAACUGAAAUGACUCCCAAUGAAUAACAUGAGACUCAUCUAGAAUGUAACGACGAAGAAUACGAACAUGAAAAACUAGAUGAACAGCUGAUAGAUCAGGGGCAAAGACUCAUAAGCCACAUCACCAUCUAUCCGAAGAAUCUCAAAUGGACCAAUAUACCUGGAGCUAAGCUUGCCUCUCUUCCCAAACCUCAUCACACCCUUCAUGUGUGAAACUCGGAGGAAAAUACUAUCACAACACCAAAUCUUUAGGCACAAAGUCUAUGAUCAGCAUAGCACUUCUUCCUACUCUGAUCCGCUCUAAGUCUGUACUGAAUGACCCAGACUCUAUCCAAAGACUCACAAAUUAAGUCCGUACCUCGAGGUCUAACCUCAGAAACAUCAAAAUAACCAACUGGAGAGAGACAACACAUACCAUACAAUGCCUCAAAUAGAGCCACAUCAAUAUUGAAAUGGUAGCUAUUAUUAUAUGUAAACUUAGGUAAAGCCAAAUGUUUCUCCCACUAGCUACCAAAAUCCAUCACACAUGCACAGUGCAUAUCCUCCAAAACCUGAAUAGUACGCUCUAAUUAACCAUCAGUAUGGGGUAAAACAUUGUGCUAAGAUCAACCUAAGUACCCAACUCAUCCUAAAAAGUCUUCAAAAAGUAAGAUAUGAACACAGAACCUCGAUUUGAAAUAAUGAACACCGGUAUACCAUACAGACACAAAAUCUCACAGAUGAAGAUAGAGGCAAACCUCUCAACACUGAAUGAGACCUAAACCAAAAUAAAAUGAGCUGACUUGGUCAAUCGAUCCACAAUGACCCAAACACUAUCAGAACCAUAAGAUAUACAGGGCAAACCAGUUAUAAAGUCUAUAGUGAUCCGUUCCCACUUCUACUCGGGAAUGGGCAACCUCUAAAGCAAUCCACCAGGUCGCAUAUGCUCGGCCUUUACCUACUGACAACAUAGACAACAAGCCACAAAAUCCACUACAUCUCACCUCAUACCACCCCACCAAUAGUAUUGUCUCAAAUCAUGAUAUAUCUUAGUCACAUCUGGAUGGAAUACCUGGAACUAUGGGCCUCCUUCAAGAUCAAUCUAGUUCAAUCACCCACUCUCGGCACGUAAACUUUGCCUCUAAUACACAAAACUCCAUCUAAAUCAAGUAAGGCUUCCUUAGCCUCCCCACUCAACACCUUAUCUUAAAUCAACUUCAAUCUAACAUCAUCAAACUGAUGAGCUCAAAUUUUCUCCAUCAUAGAAGAUCUAGCCUCCACAAAUGCAAAAACACACCCAGGUAUUGAAAUAUCAAACCUAACCAUCUGGUUAGCUAAAGACUGAACCUUUAAGGCUAAAGGCCUCUCCUGGGUCAAAAGAUGCACCAAGCUACCCAGACUAGUCGACUUCCAACUCAAGUCAUUCGCAACCAUAUUAGCAUUACCAGGAUAGUAGAAAAAAAUCAAGUCAUAAUCCUUAAGCAACUCAAGCUAACGAUGUUGCCUCAUAUUAAGAUCUCGUUGGAUGAAGAAGUAGUGAAGUUAAUCUAAGAAGAUCUCACUACGGACUACAUACAAGUAGUGCCUUUACAAUUUUAAGGCAAACAUAACUACACACAACUCCAAAUUAUAAGUAAGAUAAUUUCUCUCAUGAUGCUUCAACAUACGAGACACAUGAGCAAUCACUUUGCCCUUCUGCAUCAACACAACACCUAACCCAAUACCUGAAGCAUCACAAAAUAUGGUAAAACCAUGCCCUCCUUAGGAAAAGUCUAGAUAGAAGCCAAAGUCAACAAAUCCUCAAGAUUUUGAAAGCUAGCCUCAUAAAUAUUGGACCACUGAAAAGAAAUAUUCUUCUGGGUCAACUUGGUCAAUGGAGCUGUACAGGUUGAAAAACCCUCAACAAAACACCGAUAAUAACCUAUUAAUCCAACAAAACUCUGAAUCUCAGUAGGCGAAGUAAGUCUAGCCCAAUCAUGAACCACAACAAUCUUGGCUAGAUCAACUAUAAUACCUUUCUUAGUCACCACAUGACCCAACAAAGAAACAGACUCCAAUAAAAACUCGCACUUAGAGAACCUUGCAUACAACUUCUCAUCCCUCAAUUCCUAAAGCACAGUCCACAAAUGCUCCUCAUGCUCAGCCUUACUCUUGAAAUACACCAAGAUAUCAUCUAUAAAUACAAUAACAAAGGAGUCAAGAUAAGGUCAAAAUACUCAGUUCAUCAAUUCCAUGAAUGCGGCAGGGGCAUUGUUAACCUAAAAGGCAUAACUAAGAACUCAUAAUGACCAUAUCGAGUCCAAAAAGCUGUCUUUGAAAUAUCCAAAGCUCUAAUCCUCAAGUGGUGAUAACUGAAUGUCAAAUUAAUCUUUUAAAACACCGCAGCACCCUAAAAAUGAUCAAAUAAAUCAUCAAUGUUAAAAAGAGGAUACUUAUUCUUAAUCGUCACCUUAUUCAACUGCCAAUAUUCCAUAUACAUCCGCAUAAACCCAUAUUUUUUCUUCAUAAAUAAGAUAGGCGCACCCCAAGGUGAAAUACCAGGUUGGAUAAAUUCCAUAUCUAUUAACUCCUACAACUGAUCCUUUAGUUCUUUUAACUCUGUUGGGGCCAUCUUAUAAGGGAGAAAGGAAAUGGACUUGGUUCCCGACUCAACAUCAAUACCAAAAUCAAUGUUACGAUCUGGAGGCAUACCUGAAAAGUCCAUAGGGAACAUAUCUAUAAACUCACAGACAACAGGAAUAGAAUCUAAGGAAGGAGGCGAAACAACACUGGUAUCACGAAUAUGAUCCAAGUAAAAUAAACAUCCCCUUUCAACCAAUUUACUAGCCUAAAUAUAAGAUAUAAUCCUCUUAGGACCCGAAUAAAGUAGACUCUUCUGGGCUAUCCUUGGCACACCUGGCGAAGCUAAAGUCACAGUAUUAGAAAAACAAUCUAAGACAGCAUGUUAAGGAUCCAACCAAUCCAUACCCAAAAUAACAUCAAACUCGACUAUAUCUAACACAAGCAAGUAUACCAAAGUCUCACGCUAGGUAAAAGUCACAACACAAGAUCAGUGCACCCGAUCCACCACUAAAGAAUUACCUAUCGAGAUAGAUACACGAAUAGACAUGGAAAGAGGCUCACUAACAGAAUCAAAACCCAAAGCAAAAUACAUAGACACAUAGGAAAAAGUUGAUCCGAGAUCAAAUAAUAUAGAUACAUAUCUAAAACAAAUGGGGAUGAUACAUGUAAUCACAAGAUCAGAAGCCUCUAUCUUAGGUUUGACUGGUAUAGCAUAACAUUGACCACGACCACCAGCUACCAGGGUGACCUCACGACCACCAACUACCUAAGUGGCCUUACAGCCACCCCUACGAGCUCCAUAAUCUCUAUCCCUUAUACCUCUAGUAGUACCCCUACCCCUCACAGAUAAAAUAUGAGUAGCUCAAAUCAUUCAUCAAGAAUAGUCCUUGAUGAAAUAGGAGUAGCCUAAAUCACUCGUCGGGGAUAGUCUUUGGCCACAUAGCUAAUCUCAUCAAACACAAGCAACCUUUAUGACUAGUAUUAAUAGAAGAAGGUUCAACUAAGCCCGAAUGGCCACCCUAAACUACUGAACUAGAAUAUUCACCAUAUGAACUCUAUAAAGUCGCCACUGGCCUACUAUGGUAUCCACGAAAACCUCUAAAAUCUCAACCUCAAUAGGUAUGACUCCUGAACUCACCAAAACAUCAUUCAUUCUUGGAGCCUCUAUAAGAUGCACUAAGAAUACCCUCUGUCAUCUUAGCAUGAUCCACAAUACUCUGAAAAGAAGCCCCAAGCACAACCAUCUAAGACAUAUCCAACUGAACGUAGACAUCUAAAACCUUCACAAACUUUUGAAUUUUCUUGGACUUGGUGAAAAUGCUAUCCAUAGAGUAUGGAAGCAUGUCUCAUACUCAGCAACUGUCAUGGAGCCCUGCUCUAAACGAUCAAACUAAUCCGACAUCUGAUCCUCAAACUGUAAGACAUGAAUCACUCGAGAAAGGCAUCACAAACUGAUCCCAUAACAACUCAAGAGCAUCAACAAGCCUCCAAUCGACAAAUAAUCUUCACCAUUCUCUCAAUGUAUCUCUCAAUUGAUAGUAGUAUAAGCCAUACCAUCCUUGCAGAAAGAGUGAAACAUAACUCAAAACACAAAGUAUGAAUAAAACUUUGCACGAUAAAGAAUAAAAUUAAGGAAGUUUCCUAAAGACGUCCUGUAGCCUCUCAAAGAUAGAUAUGAACGUCUACGUAUCGAUCCGCAAGACUUUACUAUACAUUUUGUUCUUACAUAUUAGACAUUAUGUUCUUACAUCAUAAAGACCGAUGAACCUAGAUGAUCUGAUAUAAAUUUAUCAUGACCCAAAAAUUAAUAGGUCAUGAUUACACUUUUCACGGCAAACCUUGACAAGUAAGCCUCUCACCCAAAUUGAUACACACAAACAAAAGACAGAAAUGCCCCCAAGGUAAGGCUUUUAGAACGAAGCUGAACCACAGAGAUAUAAUAAAAACAAAAAGAAUAAAAUCAACACAUGCAUACAUAACUCUCAAAACCUGGUGUCAAUAAUAUAAGAACUACUAAUACAAUCUCGGAGUCAAAUACAUCAGAAAAAUAACCAGGAAAGAAAAUAUCUAUCUUCGAACACUAAUAAAAAACAUAACUAAUAUAGAAAGAUAGAAGUGAACUCUGGACGCAUGAAUGUCAAACCUCUACUUUGGAAGCUCCAAUAAUCGGCCGAGUUUAGCAAGUUGAAGCACACUUAGGCUAGGACCUGCACCAAAAGGGCGCAGUGGGCAUGCCCACUUGUACUCAGUAGGUAUCAUAGGCUGACCAAACAAAAUAGUAAAUAAAGUGUACAAAAUAUACACUAAGGCCACAUCACCUGCAAUCAGAAAAUAUCCCAUAACUGUAACCCACACCGCUUGCACUAAUAGUUUUAAUAUAUCACAUAUAUUAUAAUAUCACACCAAGAUAGAAAAUAAGUAUACAUUAUAUCACAUAUAAGUAGAAAAGGGGAGAAUAUAUAUAUACAAAACCAUCAAAUAUAAUUAAAGAAAGAUACGAUAAAUACAUAGAUGACAAGUCAAUAUGACAAUACAACACAACAUAACACAAUAAAGUAAGUGCAAUGUAUAUGAUAAUGAUGAUGAUGCAUGAGGUCGUCGCACAACCUCUGGGAUCGUCGCACAAUCCCUGUAUACAUCUACGGAGCUAAAGCUUCCCAGCUUAGGACCCAUGGGGGGUUCAUCAACCCGUAUACAAGCCAUAUAUCUCAUAUCUUCUUUUCGGCACAUCCCUCGGAAAGAGUUUUAUAAGGUAUUACAACAUCUCCUCUUUGAUACAUCCCUUUGGGAGGGUUUUUAAAAAAAUGUUGACAGUGUUAUACUGGUGUUGCCACGGUGGUACCAAUGUUUCAUGAAUGAGUAUGAUAUGAGGAUGUAAUUCUUACAACCAAUCAUAAUGAGUGUUUCACAAUCAACCACAUGAAAUAUUUCCACAACCAACAACAAUGAUAUAUUUCCACAACCAUGUGAGUCAAUAUCCACUCAUUAUUUUUGUUUUAUCCAUGAAUUUCCACAUGUCUCAUAUGCCAAUAAAGUAGGAAUAUAAUCAUAAUACACCAAUGGUACCAUAUUAAGCUUUUUAACAACAUAAAAUAAUUAUUCAUAUGUAUUCAAGGCUAUCAAUAUCACAUAGGACCCCAUGCGGUCACACAUAUCAUGAUAAAGCAUGAUAAAGCAUCAUCAGUGAGACUCCUCAUGAAUAAAUUAAUAAGAAUCUGCUCAUUUUUACCAACUCCAACUAGUUUGUCACAGUAUAGUUUCAAAUGGACUUUCGGAUAUGCAAUCCCAUUAUACAAUUCAAAUUUAGAAGGUUUGUACCCCUUCAACAGCUCAACGUCAUGGUGCAUGCACAGGUCCUCGUAACUUAUCCCUUUCAACCCCUUAUUGCUUUCAAGUUAUUCCAAUCUUUCAACCACGAAUUGCAUAAGGGUGGCAUUUUCUGGAGGUUUGGAUUCAUAUUGGUGAUGGUUUUCGACAUAAAUUGAAUGUGAAAUAUGAUUGUCUGGAUAAUGGAAAUAGGAAUAUUUGUGGUAAACAUUGGCGGCAUAUUCUGGAUGCAUGAUGUUAUUUGUGAAUUUAGUGGAGCUGGAUAUAUGCGAUAUUGUGGUGGGCAAAAAUAUGGAUGUUGGUUAUUUUUAUGAAGCAUAUAUAUGUGACUUGGAUUAUAUGGAGGUAGUGAAAUAGUAAGGGAUGUUACUAGAUGACUGUGAAUAUGGGAUGGGAUUUAAUAACGGUGUUACCCUCAGCUUGUGGUUUGAGAGAAGCAUUCAAAGUAAGGGAUAGAUUGGACAAGUUACGAGCUUGUGACAAUUCCCCUUCUAAUUGAAGGAUUCUUUGUUCCGUGCGUAAGAUCAUCUUAUUAUGCUCAUUUAUAGUUUCGUUGUUAUUACCCAUUUCCUUGUCUUCUUGACUUAGCUUUAAAAGAAGAAGACCGAGCCUUUGUCGACUAAUGUGAUGGGCGAAAGAAUACAUGAAUCAAUCUUUGGGGUGUAGGAGAAAAAUUAAAAUCAAUAAACAUAAAUAAAAAAAAGUCAAGUUAGUAAGGUGAAGGUGACAUAUGGUAAAAGAAUAAACAUGUUAAUUUGUAAGACUAAAAUAUUGUAUAAUGAAUGGAGCCUUAUUAAGUCUAAGGUACGCCUAGGAUGACAAAUAUAUGUGACUUAUGAUGAGAAACAAAAAGUAUGCACGGGAGUAUAGAAAAGAUAUUUUACUCAUUUGAGAAUACUGAGCUAUGCUCAUUCGAAGUGAAUAGAAGUUAUGAGAGCUCUAUGUAAAUUAGAGGUUGUGAAAAUUAGAGUAUGACAUGAGUAUGACAACAUCAUGAUGGGACAAAAGUAUGUAAGCGUUAGCAACAUUAGGAAAAGAAUAUCCUAAAAUAAUAGGUUGUAUGAAAAACCGUUCAUCAAAGCAAGAGUUGAGCCUAGGGAUGAGUAAUAUACUAACGGAUGAGUCAGGAGGAUAUUUUUGCUAGACCCUAAGAGUGUAUUGUAGGGUCCUAACAUGAUAAGAACUUUGAGAGUAAAGACUCUAAAAUAAGGAAUACUAAGAAUAGGGGGCGUUUAGGACAAGGAGGACAACAACAAUAUCGGUAAGAUAUAAGUGCAUACAUAGUAAUGCAACACAUAGCAAAUAGUAUUAUGCAUCCUUUUGGGGUCGUAAAACUCCUUGGACUUUGAAUGAGACUAACAUUCAACGCAUCAAGGGUGGCAAGGCAUCCUACGUUGAAUGGGAUGUAUAUUCCUUAAUAAAAGAAAUAUGUAGCCAAAACCUAAAGGGCAAAAGUGGGUUUAUGACAAAGUUCCCUCGAGUGGACAACUCGAGAGUGGAAAAGCUUAUGACUGUCGAUGCACUGUUGAUCGAUCGAUCCCCAAGGCAUUUUCUGAAGGGUCUUUUAGGAGAUAAAGUCUAUGCUACCACGCAACCGUUCAAAAAAAAAGAGGUUCCAAGUGAAGGAAAGUAUGAGCGAAAUGUCAGUUAUAUAAAGCAGUAACAUGUAGCACAUAGCAAAAUAUCAUAGCAUGCUUUAGCACUAUAAAAAUAAAUAAACAUCAAAGCACAUAACCAAUAAAAGGGGAAGUGCGGAAGGGAUAAACAUGGAUAAAAUCACAAAAAAGAGGGAGGAUGAAGAGGCUAACACGUAAACAUAAAACAUGAUAUAAGUAAUAAAGGGAAAAGAGAUAAAGUAAUUACGAAGAAAUAAAACAAAAAAAGGUAAUAGAAUCUCACAUAAAAUACAAACUCAUAAUGGUUAUAAUCUAAGAUCCCCUGCAGAGUCGUCAUUCUGUCAUGCUCCAUUUUUUGUCACAAAAAGCGAGAUUCGACCUGACUACUCUUUUGGGGCAAUUGUUUUGAAGAAAGUGUGAAGAGUCGACACCUAACGAAUUACGAAGCGUUAGGGCACCGGUCUAGGCUACUACGAACCUAUUUUGUUGUUUUGUAUUAAUUCACCAGAAAUUUGAGUAAGGGUUCAAAUUACCUCAAAAGGAAGGUGUUAGGUACCUUUUGAGGUCCACAAAGGUGAUUUCCGGCCGAAUUUGUAUUUUUUAGUGGGUAUUGUAUGUGAUAAGCAAAGGUCAAUUAUUUUAUUAUUAAUUUAAGGUUUAACUAAGUGAUAAAGUAACAAAUAAAUAAAUAUGUUAUUUUAUUGUUUCUAAUCAUUAACUAGGUGGUGAUAAAAAGGAUAACAAAUGAUAUAAAGUAGAGAAGCGAAGAGAAAGAAGGAAAAACAAUUUAUAACAAAAUAUUUAUUACUUUUAAAAACUACCCCAAGCAAACAAGCAAGUAAAGUAAAUGUAAAGAAAAGACAGAAUUCAUCAAAUCAAACAAAUAAAUAUUUUUGAUCUCAUUCGGAUCAGAACCCCAACUUGUUUAAUCCUUAUCCGACCCACUGGCCAAAUUCUUAAACAAGUAACAAUGUCAAAUGUCAUGUAAUAUCUCUGGAGAUCAUCACUUCCGAAUGACUACCCGUCCCACCCCACCUAGGCUGGUUGUCAAAUCUAAAGGCAUUCUAAGACAAGAAUAAAACUAACGUCUUUUAAAAUACCUAUCGUCCUACUUAUCGCCCAAAAGGCAUUGGGCUUUGCUAAUUCAGAAUUGUGGUCUAGACAAAAUAAAGCUAUAUUUCCUAGGACUCAAAACGCAUAAAAAAACAAGGACAUCAAAUAGCAUGUAAUGUCUCAAGUUAGCCUCCUGGUUAAUUAAAGAGUUGAUUAGGGUGAUUAACAUGCAAAACAAAUAAUUACUUAUUGUUUUGAUGUCAUUAAACUAUAUGCAUGAUAUCUAAAUGUUCAACAAUUGUUUAGUAUGACAAAAGAUAAUUGUUAAUCAUGUCUAAAUAAUGUGUUGUCAAAGUGAAGUAAAUAUGUCAAAAGUAAUGCUCAUGAAUUUCAUUGUGUAAGACGUGUUGUAAGCUAAUGACAGUGUAGGAAGUUAAAGUUACAUAUUGUAAAUUAUUACCGACAUUCAUUUUAAAUGUUGAACAGUUCAUUAACAUGCUAAAGAUGCUUUUAAAUGCUAGAAAAUGAAUUAACAUGUAGGAAUUUUUAUGUUAACAUGCUAAAAUUUUAAUAUUGAUAUGCUUAAAUUUGUAUUAAUAUGCUAAAACAUACGAUGACAUGUUUAAUUCUAAUGUUUAACAAGCUAAUAUGCAGGAAUUUAAUUUAGCAUGUCGGACGUUAGUUUGAUCCUAAAAUCAAGAUUUCUAAUCGAAUUAAUUAAUAAGUAGAUUAAAUGUCUAACCGAUUUAUGUGUUAAUAAACCCUAAGUUUGUGUGCCUAAAUGAUCCACGUAGCACGUAACACACAUAAAAACAUAAGUUGUGCCUAUCUAUACUAUUCAUAGAGCACGUAAGUCCCCGCCCCCAAGCAAUUCCCCAAAUUUAUUAUUACAUGUAGAUGUUUAUACAAUAAUUAUUACAAAUUCAAAAAUAAAAAAAUAAAAAAAUGUCUAAGUGAAAUAGCCUUAACCAUUCUCGAAUUCCGAGAAACUCUUCAUUUUACCUGAAUCUAAAAACUUAAAUCAGAACCUGUCAAACACAAGUACAUGCGCAAAAAUAUACUACCAUCUAAAUACAUUCUCAAGUCCAAAAGUUAUAAACAUCCAAAGGGAGACAUACAUGACAUUUAACAACAAACAGAGGAUCAUCAUAAUUCAGGACAAUAACUUUCAACAAUUAAAGCAUUAGGAAGACAUACCGGUAGGCGGCAACAAAUAAAAGAAAGCUCUAAUAAGUUGAAAUUCACGAUAGAAACCUCAAGCCAAGUAUUGCAAGGAGUAAAGUGUAGUAAAAAGUUUUUUUUGUAAAACUUUCUAUUGUGUAAGAGAAUGAUAGAGGAUGAAAAGCCAGUGUAAAAAAGAAGAAUGAGUCUGAUGUCCUCCCAAUAGUGAAAAAGAGUCUUGUUUUUAUAGUGGAUAGAAGAAUGAAUAAGUAAAGGACAGAAGAUAAAUCAAGGAUGAUUAUAGAAAUUAUUUUUCUUAAUUACAUAAUCAUAUCAAGAUUUAAAUAAAUCAAUCACAAUUAACAUAAUUGAUCACAUAAAAGAUUAUCCGACUUAUUUAAGGCAAGACAAAUAAGGAAGGAAAUUAAUCUCGAAAGAUUUUUUCAAACAAUAUGGUAAGGAUAAUAAAAAUUAGUCAAUUCAUCACACAUUACUUAGCCAACUAAUAUUCUCAGUUAAAUGUAAGAGUGAAUCAAGCUUACCAUGAAUAGAGAAGUAAGAAAAAAUCCAUUAUAGGCCAGCUAGAAUCAAUCACUAGUGACAUCAAAACUUUAACAAACAGCUAUCACACAAUUUCAAUAAUAAUGAAAAAAAAAUCAAACGAUCAUAUUUAGCAAGCAAAUACUAUACUAGACAGAGUUCAGAAUUAGGUGUCCCUGUGUACCCCAUUAAUUUUGAAUCAAAGACACUAAAUCAAUCACAAAUCAUAAAUCGAGAUUGAGCAUGAUUGAAGGCUAACUAAAUUUAUCCCCAACAUAACUCAUUGUGUCAAGCAAAGCCUUCAAACAAAAUGCAAUUAACAAAUCAGUGACCAUUAAUGUAAAAACUAAAAAUAAUCAUCGCUGAUAAAAUUUGGGCAUUUUUCAUAUAUGUUAGUCUAAGGGCAGAAACAAACAUGAAAUUUAAAGAAUAAUCUCAAAAAUCAAAGUCAAAUUUCACCGAUUUCAAAUCUAAGAACCUGUCUAAAAGAAUAAGGAUAGAAGAAAAGAAUAAAUUCAAAGGGAGAAACAACCUGGGACGAAUUCAAAAAAAAUCCAUCAAGAAUGUAGUGUUUUCCAACGAUGUUUGACCAGAGCUCGGCGGUGACAGUGGUUUGUUGCAUGGGGUUCGGACAUGACGGCGGCUUACCGGUAGUUGUCUUGAUUUUGCCGGUGGGCUUGAGUCGACGUGGCAGUGACAGCUGGAGCGGGGAUAAUGAUGAAGAUGAGGGAAAAGAGGUAGGGUGGCACGGCUAGUGCAAUUUCACCGGUGGCAGUGCUGAUUCGGGCUUUUACCAGUGGCUAGUCGCUUAUGCGCAUUGGUCGGCUGGAAUGGCAGUAACGGGAAGAGAAUGAAGAGAAGAUGGAGGAAGAGAGAAGAAGGUUGGGCAGCGAGGGUGUUGGCUUGGUCGGCGGUGGCUAGUUUUGUACGGUGGUUGGUGGUUGGUGGUUGGUGGUUGACAGAGGGAGCAAUGGUUGCUGGUUUUUAAAUAGAGAAAGAAGAGAGAAGGUGGAGAUUGGUGGCGGCUGAUGUUGAUUUUUUUUUCAAAA
rnacentral:lncRNA from 1 species